rnacentral:rRNA from 1 species
GCAAUUAUACCGUGAAACUGCGAAUGGCUCAUUAAAUCAGUUAUCGUUUAUUUGAUAGUACCUUACUACUUGGAUAACCGUGGUAAUUCUAGAGCUAAUACAUGCUGAAAACCCCAACUUCGGGAGGGGUGUAUUUAUUAGAUAAAAAACCAACGCCCUUCGGGGCUUCUUGGUGAUUCAUGAUAACUUUACGGAUCGCAUGGCCUUGCGCCGGCGACGGUUCAUUCAAAUUUCUGCCCUAUCAACUUUCGAUGGUAAGGUAUUGGCUUACCAUGGUUUCAACGGGUAACGGGGAAUUAGGGUUCGAUUCCGGAGAGGGAGCCUGAGAAACGGCUACCACAUCCAAGGAAGGCAGCAGGCGCGCAAAUUACCCAAUCCCGACACGGGGAGGUAGUGACAAUAAAUACUGAUACAGGGCUCUUUUGGGUCUUGUAAUUGGAAUGAGUACAAUUUAAACCUCUUAACGAGGAACAAUUGGAGGGCAAGUCUGGUGCCAGCAGCCGCGGUAAUUCCAGCUCCAAUAGCGUAUAUUAAAGUUGUUGCAGUUAAAAAGCUCGUAGUUGAAACUUGGGUCUGGCUGGCAGGUCCGCCUCACCGCGUGUACUUGUCCGGCCGGGCCUUCCUUCUGGAGAACCUCAUGCCCUUCACUGGGCGUGUUGGGGACCAGGACUUUUACUUUGAAAAAAUUAGAGUGUUCAAAGCAGGCCUUUGCUCGAAUACGUUAGCAUGGAAUAAUAGAAUAGGACGUGCGGUCCUAUUUUGUUGGUUUCUAGGACCGCCGUAAUGAUUAAUAGGGACAGUCGGGGGCAUCAGUAUUCAAUUGUCAGAGGUGAAAUUCUUGGAUUUAUUGAAGACUAACUACUGCGAAAGCAUUUGCCAAGGAUGUUUUCAUUAAUCAGUGAACGAAAGUUAGGGGAUCGAAGACGAUCAGAUACCGUCGUAGUCUUAACCGUAAACUAUGCCGACUAGGGAUCGGGCGAUGUUCUUUUUCUGACUCGCUCG